CUCUUUUUGAUGCCGUGUGUGCAAAGGAUGUAAAGAAAGCAUCUGUAGCUCUCAAGGAAGGAGCAGAUGUGAACGUAUUAGCAAGAGAGUGGAGAUGGUAUGGUGGUGUGUAUGGUCUUCCAUCAGCGUUGCAAGUAGCAUGUGCUGAUUCAUCGAUUGACUUGGUAGACUUACUGCUACAACAACAAGUAAACAUGAACUACCAUGAGGAUGUGGGUGGAUGGACAGCUCUGCAUCUUGCUUGUCGGAAUGGUCAUUUGUCUAUUGUAGAGAGAUUAUUGUCAUUCGGAUGUGAGAAAGGCUCAGUGAAUAAUGAUGGAUGGACAGCUCUGCAUUAUGCUUGUUGGAAUGAUCAUUUGUUUAUUGUGGAGAGAUUAUUGUCAUCCGGAUGUGACAAAGAAGCAAGGACUAUUGUG